rnacentral:lncRNA from 10 species
UGUAACUGAAUUCAAGGAAAACAAAGCCUGGGGCUAGAAGGAAGUGUAGGAAUCCAAGGAGAAAUAUCCGUGGUAGAUUUCAAUUAAGAAGCUCUGGCAUUAAGCAAAAUAGGUGAAGAAGCUUUACACGUCGUUUCCCUUUUGAGUCGCUCAGCCAAAUUCAUCAGUGUAAAGGAAGAGUUAAAGAAGUACUCAAACCCAAGAGCCCUUUAAAGAAACAACAUAGGAGUCAGUGAGUGAGUGGGGGAAGCAGCCAAGAUGGACAAACAAGAACAGCUCUGGUCUACAGCUCCCAGCAUGAGCGACG